rnacentral:rRNA from 1 species
AUUGAACGCUGGCGGCAGGCCUAACACAUGCAAGUCGAGCGGAUGAAGGGAGCUUGCUCCUGGAUUCAGCGGCGGACGGGUGAGUGAUGCCUAGGAAUCUGCCUGGUAGUGGGGGAUAACGUCCGGAAACGGGCGCUAAUACCGCAUACGUCCUGAGGGUGAAAGUGGGGGGUCUUCGGACCUCACGCUAUCAGAUGAGCCUAGGUCGGAUUAGCUAGUUGGUGGGGUAAGGGCCUACCAAGGCGACGAUCCGUAACUGGUCUGAGAGGAUGAUCAGUCACACUGGAACUGAGACACGGUCCAGACGCCUACGGGAGGCAGCAGUGGGGAAUAUUGGACAAUGGGCGAAAGCCUGAUACAGCCAUGCCGCGUGUGUGAAGAAGGUCUUCGGAGUGUAAAGCACUUUAAGUUGGGAGGAAGGGCAGUAAGUUAAUACCUUGCUGUUUUGACGUUACCAACAGAAUAAGCACCGGCUAACUUCGUG